rnacentral:ncRNA from 2 species
AAUCGCGCCCGCCAUCAGGGUGUCUGUGCGCAUUGAGCGCCAGAUGAAACGGGAAGCCGGUGCAAGACCGGCGCUGCCCCCGCAACGGUAAGGUCUGUCCGACGACAAGCCGCAUCAUGUCUGCCACUGUUCUCGAACGGGAAGGCGAUGCGACGCAAGACCGAGCCCGGAGACCGGCCCUGGGGUAUCUGUAGCG